rnacentral:rRNA from 1 species
GACGAACGCUGGCGGCGUGCCUAAUACAUGCAAGUCGAGCGAAGUUUUUCUGGUGCUUGCACCGGAAAAACUUAGCGGCGAACGGGUGAGUAACACGUAAAGAACCUGCCUCAUAGACUGGGACAACUAUUGGAAACGAUAGCUAAUACCGGAUAACAGCAUUACCUGCAUGGUUGAUGUUUAAAAGUUGGUUUUGCUAACACUAUGAGAUGGCUUUGCGGUGCAUUAGCUAGUUGGUGGGGUAAAGGCCUACCAAGGCGACGAUGCAUAGCCGACCUGAGAGGGUGAUCGGCCACACUGGGACUGAGACACGGCCCAGACUCCUACGGGAGGCAGCAGUAGGGAAUCUUCCGCAAUGGGCGAAAGCCUGACGGAGCAACGCCGCGUGAGUGAAGAAGGAUUUCGGUUCGUAAAGCUCUGUUGUUAGGGAAGAAUGAUUGUGUAGUAACUAUACACAGUAGAGACGGUACCUAACCAGAAAGCCACGGCUAACUACGUG